rnacentral:tRNA from 1 species
AGAGAAAGUAUGACGACUGAAUUUAGAAUUGUGGAGGUAUGCGUUUUGCUAAUUACUGUCAUUUUUAUUUAUCAUUGAGUCUCGUAGCUCAGCUGGUUAGAGCGCUACACUGAUAAUGUAGAGGUCGGCAGUUCGAGUCUGCCCGAGACUACAAUACGAUCUUGGGAAUUUAGAGUUGGGAAAUUCAUCCAUACUGAAUUCUUUUCAGAAUUGGGGAAUUAGCUCAGCUGGCUAGAGCACUUGAUUUGCAUUCAAGGGGUCGUGGGUUCGACUCCCACAUUCUCCACUAAAAAGUUCAUUGACAUAUUGAAAAUUUUUAUAUUACAAACAUCAGUUAUCCAAUUUAUGUUUGUAAUUAUAGAUACACUACAAAGUAUAAAUUACGUAUACAUACAAUUAUAUGUGGAUUUGUACGAGCAAAUAUUAUAAUAAAUACAAUUUCAAAGAAAAGUAAAGUUAC